CAGUAGGGAAUCUUCCACAAUGGGCGAAAGCCUGAUGGAGCNACGCCGCGUGAGUGANGAAGGNUUUCGGAUCGUAAAANUCUGUUGUAAGGGAAGAACAAGUACAGUAGUAACUGGCUGUACCUUGACGGUACCUUAUUAGAAAGCCACGGCUAACUACGUGCCAGCAGCCGCGGUAAUACGUAGGUGGCAAGCGUUGUCCGGAAUUAUUGGGCGUAAAGCGCGCGCAGGCGGUCCUUUAAGUCUGAUGUGAAAGCCCACGGCUCAACCGUGGAGGGUCAUUGGAAACUGGGGGACUUGAGUGCAGAAAAGGAAAGUGGAAUUCCAAGUGUAGCGGUGAAAUGCGUAGAGAUUUGGAGGAACACCAGUGGCGAAGGCGA
rnacentral:rRNA from 1 species